GUUAAUGGGAGUUUAAUUAGUGCACUUUUUGUGCUCCUCUGAAUGUAAAUAUUUCAAUAAAAAAUAACAUUAAUGGAUAUUAAACGAAUUUCAUGACACUGUACAUACAUGCAAUAAGAGCAAACGUUUCUGUAUAAAUUCAGACUCCAUUUAAUUAUGCCUAAGACCCUCGACAAGCUCUCUUUAAAUUUAAGCCGAAAUUGCCACACAAUUUGUGCGCUUUAACAUUUGUAAAUAAAUCCAAACACACAUUAAAGUAUGCAAGUUGAAAUGAAUGUUAAAAUGUUGACAAAAUUAAAUAAAUUUAUAAAUGUAGAAGCCCCUGAAGCGAACAGCAUUGAAAAUCCAAAGAAAACUUAAGUGUACGUAAGAAGCUCAGCAGAAACUAAAGAAGGGCAAAUCUUUAGUUAGUUAUAUCAUAUAUAAUAUAGCAUAUAUGUAUAUCUAUAGAUCUAUCUAUGUGGAUAAGUGAGUGCAUAUCUAUGUGACAUAUUUGUAUGUAAAUGUAUGCAAAAGUUUACAGCAGAAAUAAAC
rnacentral:lncRNA from 1 species